rnacentral:rRNA from 1 species
UACGUAGGGGGCAAGCGUUAUCCGGAUUUACUGGGUGUAAAGGGAGCGUAGACGGCAGGGCAAGUCUGGAGUGAAAGGCGGGGGCUCAACCCCCGGACUGCUCUGGAAACUGCCAGGCUGGAGUGCAGGAGAGGUAAGUGGAAUUCCUAGUGUAGCGGUGAAAUGCGUUGAUAUUAGGAGGAACACCAGUGGCGAAGGCGGCUUGCUGGACGAUGACUGACGUUGAGGCUCGAAAGCGUGGGGAGCAAACAGG